rnacentral:rRNA from 1 species
GAUGAACGCUGGCGGCGUGCCUAACACAUGCAAGUCGAGCGAACUCUUCGGGGUGAGCGGCGGACGGGUGAGUAACGCGUGGGUAACCUGCCCUAUACACACGGAUAACGUACCGAAAGGUACGCUAAUACGGGAUAAAGUUGUUGGAUGGCAUCUUCUAACAAUCAAAGCUCCGGCGGUAUAGGAUGGACCCGCGUCUGAUUAGCUAGUUGGUGAGGUAAUGGCUCACCAAGGCGACGAUCAGUAGCCGACCUGAGAGGGUGAUCGGCCACACUGGAACUGAGACACGGUCCAGACUCCUACGGGAGGCAGCAGUGGGGAAUAUUGCACAAUGGGCGAAAGCCUGAUGCAGCAACGCCGCAUGAGCGAUGAAGGUCUUCGGAUCGUAAAGCUCUGUCCUCAAGGAAGAUAAUGACGGUACUUGAGGAGGAAGCCCCGGCUAACUACGUGCCAGCCGCCGCCGUAA